CCCUUUUUUGCAUUUUUUUUUCUCUUAUUCAUGUAGUGCAUCCUGUGCCGCAUUACGGCUGGGCCCCGGCACUCUGACACGGUCGAAUCCGCAUUGUCCCACAGAAUAGAUGUAUUCGGGAAAGAAAAGCCGGCACGUCAGCCAUUACAUAACUGGUCGCUAUCUAGCGCCGUUAGUUCUUCAAGUGACCGUCACGCUCGCUAAGUGCACCGGCCAUCCAGCCGCCAUUGAGGUUUGAAGUCCUUUGGGUCCAGACAUCUCAAAUGUACCAGUACAUGGUGCCAGUGAAAUUCUUCAGAGAUCCAGUGGCAGUAAUAUUUAAUGCCAAUAAACCUUCGGGAUGAUUGCAGUCCUGGGUAUAUUCAUCUCCUCUGCUAUUUAAGCCGGAUGAAAACCAUAUUCAGCCCCUACUCCUUUGCUGGAACUCGUGCUCGUGCCAGACAUUUUUAUGCCCGAAUUCCCUUUCAUUUUCAUUAUUAUAUGGUAAAUGAAACUGAGGAGUGGAGAUAAGGAAAAAAUGGAAAAUAUUUCGUGGAACCUUUUGUCACACGACAAUUCUUCGUCCAAGCCAUUCUCAUUGAUUAUACCUCCGUUCAUUCUUAUUCUUAUGAGCUUUUGUGGUAGCAUCUGGAGGGUUUGCAGAUAUGCCAGGAGCAGAGAUCGACAUCAAUCAUUAGGCUGAGA